GUGGGGGAUAUUGCACAAUGGGGGAAACCCUGAUGCAGCGACGCCGCGUGAAGGAAGACGUACUUCGGUAUGUAAACUUCUAUCAGCAGGGAAGAAGAUGACGGUACCUGACUAAGAAGCCACGGCUACCUACGUGCCAGCAGCCGCGGUAAUACGUAGGGGGCAAGCGUUAUCCGGCUUUACUGGGGGUAAAGGGAGCGUAGACGGUGAAGCAAGUCUGAUGUGAAAACCCGGGGCUCGACUCCGGGAUUGCAUUGGAAACUGUUUUACUUGAGUGCUGGAGGGGCAAGCGGAAUUCCAGGUGUAGCGGUGAAAUGCGUAGAUAUCAGGAAGAACACCGGUGGCGAAGGCGGCUUGCUGGACAGUAACUGACGUUGAGGCUCGAAAGCGUGGGGAGCAAACAGGAUUAGAAACCCGAGUAGUCC
rnacentral:rRNA from 1 species